ACGAACGCUGGCGGCGUGCUUAACCCAUGCAAGUCGCACGGAAAGGCCCUGCUUUUGUGGGGUGCUCGAGUGGCGAACGGGUGAGUAACACGUGAGUAACCUGCCCUUGACUUUGGGAUAACUUCAGGAAACUGGGGCUAAUACCGGAUAGGAGCUCCUGCUGCAUGGUGGGGGUUGGAAAGUUUCGGCGGUUGGGGAUGGACUCGCGGCUUAUCAGCUUGUUGGUGGGGUAGUGGCUUACCAAGGCUUUGACGGGUAGCCGGCCUGAGAGGGUGACCGGCCACAUUGGGACUGAGAUACGGCCCAGACUCCUACGGGAGGCAGCAGUGGGGAAUAUUGCACAAUGGGCGGAAGCCUGAUGCAGCAACGCCGCGUGCGGGAUGACGGCCUUCGGGUUGUAAACCGCUUUCGCCUGUGACGAAGCGUGAGUGACGGUAAUGGGUAAAGAAGCACCGGCUAACUACGU
rnacentral:rRNA from 1 species